rnacentral:rRNA from 1 species
UACAGAGGGGGCAAGCGUUGUUCGGAAUUAUUGGGCGUAAAGAGCUCGUAGGCGGUUUGUCGCGUCGGCCGUGAAAACUUGGGGCUUAACCCCAAGCCUGCGGUCGAUACGGGCAGACUUGAGUUCGGCAGGGGAGACUGGAAUUCCUGGUGUAGCGGUGAAAUGCGCAGAUAUCAGGAGGAACACCGGUGGCGAAGGCGGGUCUCUGGGCCGAUACUGACGCUGAGGAGCGAAAGCGUGGGGAGCGAACAGG